GUGCAGCCUCAACAUUCACAUCUCUUCAAUAUUCAUCUUAGCAUUAGUUACAUUGUGUGACACACAUUAUCUAAAGCAAACUGCUUUUCCCUCAGUUGACUAAUCUUGCUUCAAAUAUAAAUGGUUUAUUUUUUGUAGCUCUCGUUUUAUCGUUUUUAGCCACAAACUUGGUUCUGCUGCCAUGGCGGCUCGUUCGGCUUGCCUAUGCUCCUACUCGCUACCGGGAGCACUUAUCUCUCAUUUUUUCCACCGCAAAACUGGUUUCUGCGCGACCUUUUUCCAGUUCAACCGUUUCACCUCAACCGGUCGAUUAACUUCUUCAACCAAUCCUCUAAUGGCGGUUCGCUCUCAGGCCAAGCGAGGGUUCACAUUCAAAAAAGACGAAAUAGCUACUCCCGCUGAUCUUCGUUUUGAGGCACCGCUCGAAAUCGUCAGGUAUCCGGACCCUAUAUUGAGAGCGAAGAACAAAAGAAUCGAUACGUUUGAUGAGAAUUUGAAGAAGCUGGUCGAUGAGAUGUUCGAUGUAAUGUACAAAACUGAUGGUAUUGGGCUCUCAGCACCUCAAGUAGGAAUUAAUGUUCGACUUAUGGUGUUUAAUUCAGUUGGUGAGCGUGGUGAAGGAGAGGAGAUUGUUCUCAUCAAUCCAAGAGUUAACAAAUAUUCAAAGAAAAUUGUGCUCUUUAAUGAAGGUUGCCUAUCCUUUCCUGGGAUCUAUGCUGAUGUGGAGAGACCAGAAUCAAUAAAGAUUGAUGCAAGGGACAUUAAUGGUGCUAGUUUUUCUGUCAACUUGUCAGGUCUUCCUGCACGAAUUUUUCAGCAUGAGUUUGAUCAUUUACAGGGUAUUCUGUUUUUCGAUAGAAUGACUGAUGAAGUUCUUGAGCAUAUUCGUCCACAGCUACAGGUGAGUAGAAGUGAGCCAGUGAUACACCUUCUAAUUCCACAAGGCCUUGGAAAAGAAAUAUGAGGAUAAGACUGGACUCCCAAGCCCAGAAAGGAUUGAAACACGCAGAAAAAAGAAGGUUGCUGCCGGUUUUGGGAAAUAAUGAUUGCAGGCUUGAGCUAGUUCAGAUUUAUCAGAAAGAUCAAACUGAGGCUGGUGCUGCAUGUAUUAUGCCUCGGAAUUUGCUGGCUGAAGCUCAGGUUGAACACAUAAACAUACAUUACAAGAUGGUGGUUGCACUACAUGGUUGUUAGGAAGUUACAAAGGAAAGAUAGAUAAUUGCAUGUAGCUUGAUGACUAAUGUGUACUUAAUAGCUGUAUUGUUUGUAGGGAUCUCCAUUUGUCCCUGCACACUCAUUGCCUUGAACGAAUCUCUCUCUCUCUCUCUCUCUCUCUCUCUCUCUCUCUUUUGAGAAAUUGAAAGAAAGAAUCAUUUAUCUUUUCCUACUUUUCUUCUUUUUGCUUUCUGAUGGUGAUACAUAAUUAAAGACAUUAUUAAAUUGGACUUGAGACAAA